rnacentral:rRNA from 1 species
AUGGCAAGGUCCAUGUUGGAUGAAUACAAGUCGCCACAUAGUUUUUGGGCUGAGGCUGUCAACACUGCAUGCCAUGCAUCAAACCGGCUCUUCCUCCGCACAAUAUUGGAAAAGACUCCAUAUGAGCUCCUAACUGGGAACAUGCCAAAUGUCAAGUACUUUCGUGUAUUUGGGUGCAAAUGUUUCAUCCUCAACAAAAAAGAACGGGUAGGAAAAUUUCAAUCCAAAACAAUUGAGGGAAUAUUUGUUGGCUAUGGAUCAAACUCUCACGCCUAUAGAGUCUACAACAAAUCAAAUGGAUGUGUUGUAGAAACUUGUGACGUGGUGUUUGAUGAAUUUAAUGGCUCCCAUGGGGAGCAAGUUGAUCUAAGUGAUAUAGGUGAAGAAGAUUCUUCUCAAGAUAUUCUGACCAUGGGUGUUGGUGCACUUCUUCCAAUGGAACAAGAACCUCAUGAUGAUGAAGAAGAAGAUGGAAGCUUCACACAUCAUCAAACUACUGCAACACCCAUACCACCACAAGCUCCUAUUGCUCAACCAAUGCCCUUAGUCCAAGUACAAGAAGAUGAUCAAGUCCCUCUUCAUGAUAACCUUCAAGAACAAGAUCACCAUCAAGGGCAAGAACAAGAAAGUGCAAUCAUUGAUGAUGAACCUCAACAAAUGCAAUACGAAGAAGAAGAUCUUCCACCACACAUUAAGGAUCCAUAUAUUGAGGACGUGGAUGAUGGACAUGAAGUUGAACCUCGCGAAACCCUAACCUCCAUCAUGCCUCAAGUGGCCCAUCGUGUUGAUGUUGACAAAAUUCUCACCGGCAUAUCGGAAGGUAGAGUCACUUGUAAACAUUUGACAAACUUUUGUGCUCACUUCUCGUUUGUGUUUAAUCUUGAGCCUGUCAAGGUACAAGAUGCAUUGAUGGACAACGAUUGGCUCGUUGCUAUGCAAGAAGAGUUGAACAGUUUUGAACGCAACCAAGUGUGGUCAUUAGUUGAGAGGCCAACUACGGAACACAAUGUCAUUGGAACAAAAUGUAUUUUUAAGAACAAGCAAGAUGAGAAUGGUGUAAUCAUCCGCAACAAGGCAAGGUUAGUGGCACAAGGGUACUCACAAGUUGAAGGUUUGGACUUUGGUGGGACCUUUGCUCCCGUUGCCCAUCUUGAAUCUAUUCGCAUCUUACUUGCUUAUGCUGCUUUCAAUGGUUUUACAUUACAUCAAAUGGAUGUGAAGAGUGCUUUCCUUAAUGGUCCUCUACAAGAAGAAGUAUAUGUAUCACAAGCACCUGGGUUCGUUGAUCUCGAUCACAAAGACUAUGUGUAUAAACUUCAUAAGGCUUUGUAUGGCCUCAAACAAGCACCUCGUGCUUGGUAUGAUCAUCUUAAGAAGUUUUUACUUGAUGAUGGUUUUGUGAGAGGGGUGAUCGAUCCCACUCUUUGUACUAAGAGGGACAAAGGUGAUUUGAUCUUAUGCCAAAUCUAUGUAGAUGAUAUAAUUUUUGGUUCUCCUAACAUUCAUUUGUGCAAGAAGUUUGCGGCUUUCAUGACCAAGAACUUUGAGAUGUCACUCAAUGCGGAUUUGAAGUUCUUUCUUGGUUUCCAAAUUCAACAAUUUCAAGAAGGAAUUUUAUUAUCUCAAGCAAAGUAUCUCAAGGAUAUUCUAGAGAAGUUUGGAAUGUCUGAUGCUAGUCCAUGUAAGACACCCAUGCCUACAAAAAUUGUACUCACUGAAGACACAAACGGUGUUACUUUUGACCCAUCUACUUACCGCUCUAUGAUUGGUUCAUUGCUUUACCUUUGUGCAUCUAGACCAGACAUCAUGUUCAGUGUAUGCAUGUGUGCUAGAUUUCAAGCUUCCCCUAGGGAAAGUCAUCAUAAGGCGGUUAAGCAUAUUCUUAGAUACCUUAUUCACACCCCAAAGUUGGGUCUAUGGUACCCCAAGGAUGCCAAGUUUGAUCUCAUUGGGUACGCAGAUGCGGAUUGGGCUGGAGAAAAAGUGGAUCAUAAGUCCACCUUCGGUGCAUGCCAAUUUCUUGGACGCUCCUUGGUAAGUUGA